ensembl:lncRNA
AAGGGUCAGAUAUGAAUGGUAUAUAUAGUGUUUUUUAAACCUGACUUGUUUCAUGUCCACUGAGCCUGGAGAUGGUGGUGUGUCUAGGGUUGGGGUUAGGAGAUGAUGGUGUGUCUCGGGUCAGGGUUUAGAGAUGAGGGUGUGUCUAGGGUUAGUGUUAGGAGAUGAAGGUGUGUCUAGGGUUAGGGUGAGGGAGAUGAUGGUGUGGUUGGGGUGAGGGAGAUGAUGGUGUGUCUAGGGUUAGUAUUAGAGUGAGGGAGAUGAUGGUGUGUCUAGUGUUAGGGAGAUGAUGGUGUGUCUAGGGUUAGGAGAUGAUAAUGUGUCUAGGGUUAGUGUGAGGAGAUGAUGGUGUGUCUAGGGUUACGGAGAUGAUGGUGUGUCUAGGGUCAGGGUGUGUGUGUGAGGGUAAGGGAGAUGAUGGUGUGUCUAGCCACCCAAACAAUAAGGAAGACUCUGAGCCCUGUCCUACUCUGACUGAUCCUUUUAUAUUCACUGAAAAUGUCCUGGCACUAAUAAAAUAUACAUAUUAAGAGGGUUAAUGGAGAUGUUCCUCAAACAAGAUACCCCGAGCGACACAUCAAUUAUUCUUUCAAAGUUCCACUACAGCAGCUGAGAUACCCAGCAACACACACUUCCGUAUCACCCUCACACACUUCCGUAUCACCCUCACACACUUCUGUAUCACAACACAACCUUCCAUAUCCCUCUCACACACUUCCAUAUACCUCUCACACACUUCUUUAUCACAACACACACUUCCACAUCACCCUCACACACUUCCAUAUCCCUCUCACACACUUCCAUAUACUGUAUCACAACACACACUUCCAUAUCACCCUCACACACUUCCAUAUCACCCUCACACACUUCCAUAUCACCCUCUCAAAAUCACUCACAAACUGGACGUGUGUCCAUAGCUGUCCAUUGUGGAGUAAUUACAGUGAAACAAAGGGAUCGGUUGUGUAUAUUGCAUUAUUACGUGUAAAUGUCACCCAAAAGUCUUGGCAGUAUAUGCAGUAUAUGCUUGCCUACAGAGUGCUUACUGGUUCUGCUCCCACCUACCUAAAUGCUCUUGUAAGGGCAAAUGUUACACCCAGGACGCUGCGCUCGUCUAGUGAUCGUCGUUUGGCACUGCCGUCCGUGCGAGCACGGCAAUCCAGACUAUUUUCAUUUGUAGUUCCACGUUGGUGGAACGAACUGCCUAGUACUACCAGAGCAGGGGCGUCCCUCUCUACCUUCAAGAAGCUUUUGAAGACCCAACUCUUCAGAGAGCACCUCCCCUCCUAACUGGCACCCGACUAGCGCUUAACUUGCACUUCAGCAGUUAUAUUCCUGCACUUCUUUUUCCUCUUUUCUAGGUUGUUGUUUUUUCUAAUUCUCAUGUAAAGUAGUAUUUAUUGUUACACCAUGCUUUUUUAUUGCUCUUAGCUUGACUGUUCUCUCCCUUGUACGUCGCUUUGGACAAAAGCGUCUGCUAAAUGACUAAAUGUAAAUGUAAAUGUAAAUAUGGGGUUGGAUUAUCAGUGGGGGUAACAGUCCCACGAUGUGUGACGGAGCUCCAAAAAAAAAAAAAAGCUAUGGUCAGAAUAUCACCACGUGAUCCUGUGUCUGAGUCACUGGUGAUGUCUAUGCCCGUGUUGAUCUUAGAUAGGAUCUCAAGUGUUGCACCUUUGGGAAGAAUUACUGUAGUAUUGACUGAAAGAAACUCACUAAACGUGCGUGACUGCUAUGUGUUGUGGCUCUCCUCAAUCCAAUAAAAUACACGAUGGCUUCCGUUGAAGCAUGGCAGGGUUCUGUGUGGGCUUGCAGUGCUGGCGUGUUUGAGUGCAGUAGCGUGUAGCGUGUUACGGAGGGGCACAAGGUGAAUCUGUAAACCUGUUGACAAGCAUGA